GGCAAGACAGCCACACCUUGAACUCUGACUCAAGGAAGAGAGUGGGCAGCUCACCAGAGAGGCCAGAGGAGGCGGCAGGAAGGUGGGGUCUCUCCAGCCAGGGGCUUCCUGAAAGAGCUGCCUUCUGAGCAGGCCCCCCAGGCUAGGAAGAUGUGCACCUGCCGAGCUGGGCAGGAGAGGGUGGCCCAGUGGAGGACCCAGCAUGGGCAGAGGUUUGGAGGUGGCAGGUCCUGAGGGAAGCGGAAGGCAGCCAGGUUGUGACAGCCUGUGAGGACCUCUUGGCUCCCGGAGCCUUCUCUCUCCUGGAAUAGAGAUGACACCGUGCUGCCAUUGAACUCAACCCGAAAAAAUGAUCUGUUGCAAAGCUCACAGGAAAUAAUGGAGCAAUGUUACACGAUAAACUGUAAAGUGUGGUGAGCAUGUGAACAAGCGUCCAGGACCCAGCGAAGCCCCAGGCUACUGGGCUAGGCGUCAGAUGAGAAGAGGCAGAGGGCAACCUCCUGUAGGAUCUGAGGCCUUCAUGUGCUCAGCCCAUGGCUGUCGUCACGGUGACGUGUGCAUGCGAUGUAUCUGGGCCAUCCUUGUUCUUGAACGCGGGCAGUGAGUCCCACGGUGAUGUGGCAUGUCACGAGCUGAAGGAGGGGCACCUGCAUUCAGGCUUGCGAACCAGCGAGACAGCCUUUGGACCUUUCGGAGCCUCACUUUCCCACACUAAGAAUUGGAGUG
rnacentral:lncRNA from 10 species